UACGGGAGGCAGCAGUGGGGAAUAUUGCACAAUGGGCGAAAGCCUGAUGCAGCUAUGCCGCGUGUAUGAAGAAGGCCUUAGGGUUGUAAAGUACUUUCAUCGGGGAGGAAAAACAAAACUAAUAAUUUUAUUUCUUGACGUUACCCGAAAAAGAAGCACCGGCUAACUCCGUGCCAGCAGCCGCGGUAAUACGGAGGGUGCUAGCGUUAAUCAGAAUUACUGGGCGUAAAGAGCACGUAGGUGGUUUUUUUAAAGUCAGAUGUGAAAUCCCUGGGCUUAACCUAGGAACUGCAUUUUGAAACUGAAAUACUAGAGUAUCGUAGAGGGAGGUAGAAUUCUAGGUGUAGCGGUGAAAUGCGUAGAUAUCUGGAGGAAUACCUGUGGCGAAAGCGGCCUCCUAAACGAAUACUGACACUGAGGUGCGAAAGCGUGGGGAGCGAAACAGGGAUUAGGAU
rnacentral:rRNA from 1 species